ACUAACUAAAAAGACAGAUGGGCCUUGAAGGCCUCUGAAGCCCAUUAGGGCGUACAACAACAAGGAGCAAGGGGGUGGUCCAAAACCCAGGAAGCCCAUGUGGCUGAUCCAAUUCGGGUUAUCCAUAACCCUGGACCGGGUCAAAGAAACCGACCUAAGAUCCGUUGGAUCUCCAACCUUGAAACAUGCGGAACGGCGUUUCCAACGCCUUGAGAAGGUCAACCAAUUCUUGGGCAGUGAGAGAUCUUGGCUCUCAUUCAUGGCCAUAAAUCAAAAAAUCUGCAGUUAAUGAUAAUUAACAACAAUGAAGAAUAUAUACGCUCUGUUCUUUCUCGUUCAAGAACUCAACCUUUCGGAAAGUAAUCGCGUCCCAAACCCUUACAUAUACCCAGAAACAAACUCCAACCUUAAACUACCUUCCUUGAAAUCCAACAUUAGAGUUACACAAAUCCAACAAACCUAAGCAAGAUACUCAUUUAUAUCUACCGAUUCGAGAAUAAUUUCCAGUGAUAUCACUCAAAGUAAAAGAAAAAUCAGGGAAGUGAUAUGAACCUUACCAACUCAGAGAAUCGGAACGUCCAGCUUCUGACGAUGUCGCUCAAGUUCUUCCGGCGAGUGUUCUGAUUGCAACCAAUUGUUCAGACAAAGUAUGCUUUCUCUUCACGGUUUGGCUUUUCUCUUUUCCUUUCCUACCCCAUUCUUGUCAAUAUGCUCCUCUGUUUAGACUUCUACUGAUGAGGUUUUAGAUUUGCUUUUUCCUCAGAGAUUCAAUACGAAACUCUAAAAGAAGAAAAGCUUUUAGGUGAGGAUGAGAAUUUCAACAGGGCAACGGUGCAAAAUCUCCUCCUCUUCUUCUAAUUUCUGUGUUCGAUGUGAUUUUUAUCAGGGUCUUAGCUCGUAUUACUCAAAGUUCUAAGGAUAAACUUUGAGCACCCAUUUGAUAUCUUUGAGCUUUGGUGUGCAGGUUAGGAUGCGAUUUCGGCAGAGUGACGGUGCAUAAAAUUAGGUCUUGGUCGAGUGACGGCGCACCGAUUAGGGUUUUUUCUUUUCAAUGAUUGGAUGUCUCUUAUAUAGAGCUCUGGGUUACCAAGUCUCUCACCUGUGAGCUGGCCAAAAAUCCAAGAUUUUCCGUUGGAAUCAAAUCUCCUCUAAUUUUGGUGUGGUCCCUAAUUUGAUGCAGGUGGCAAGGCGAGUUGGUUGGGAGUGGAAAUCUUUCCAUGAUGCGUGGUCCCAAAAUGCAGGUGCUUGAAGAUUUUGUCUGUAGUGAAUCCACGGUUUUUUUACUGGUGUUUGUCUACUGCUAUUUGGUUAUGGAUAUGCGCACAGUAGCAAUGCUCCAAUUUGACUUAAGCAUAGACAUUGGUUUGAUCGUGGUAUGUGGCUACCGCAGGUCUUGUUGUGACCACUGAUGUGUUGCAGAGUACUGAUUAUCUCAUUCCUGUUGAUAAGCCUGUGGUACUAUCUGGCGGCAAUCCUCCAAGAAGAUUGACAAAUGCUGCAGGUUUUGGUUCUGCAGCCAAGAUUUCUUGCCGUUUAAAGGGAUAGUUUGAUGGCAGUUGAUGUUAGCUAGUGCUGUGGUUUUGCAACAGCUUUGGUUGGCAGCGGUAUUGACGACACGGGUGGUGCAAGUGGGAAAUCUCG